UAGGGAAUCUUCCGCAAUGGACGCAAGUCUGUCGGAGCAACGCCGCGUGAGUGAAGAAGGAUUUCGGUUCGUAAAACUCUGUUGUUAGAGAAGAACAGCGCAUAGAGUAACUGUUAUGCGUGUGACGGUAUCUAACCAGAAAGCCACGGCUAACUACGUGCCAGCAGCCGCGGUAAUACGUAGGUGGCAAGCGUUGUCCGGAUUUAUUGGGCGUAAAGCGAGCGCAGGCGGUCAAUUAAGUCUGAUGUGAAAGCCCCCGGCUCAACCGGGGAGGGUCAUUGGAAACUGGUUGACUUGAGUGCAGAAGAGGAGAGUGGAAUUCCAUGUGUAGCGGUGAAAUGCGUAGAUAUAUGGAGGAACACCAGUGGCGAAGGCGACUCUCUGGUCUGUAACUGACGCUGAGGUUCGAAAGCGUGGGUAGCAAACAGG
rnacentral:rRNA from 1 species